UAUUGGACAAUGGGGGCAACCCUGAUCCAGCCAUGCCGCGUGUGUGAAGAAGGCCUUCGGGUUGUAAAGCACUUUAAGCAGGGAGGAAGGCUUCAAGGCUAAUAUCCUUGAGGAUUGACGUUACCUGCAGAAUAAGCACCGGCUAACUCCGUGCCAGCAGCCGCGGUAAUACGGAGGGUGCAAGCGUUAAUCGGAAUUACUGGGCGUAAAGCGCACGUAGGUGGCUGUUUAAGUCGGGUGUGAAAUCCCUGGGCUCAACCUGGGAAUUGCAUUUGAUACUGAGCGGCUAGAGUACGGUAGAGGGAGGUAGAAUUCCUAGUGUAGCGGUGAAAUGCGUAGAUAUUAGGAGGAAUACCGGUGGCGAAGGCGGCCUCCUGGACUGAUACUGACACUGAGGUGCGAAAGCGUGGGGAGCAAACAGG
rnacentral:rRNA from 1 species